UCUACUAAUGCAGCGCAAGGGCGGAGAAAGCCCGCUGCGCCCCCGAGUGGGGGUAACCCUGGUGGGAGCCGGGGGCCGCACACUCGGCCUUCUCUUGCACCAGCUGCGCCAGAACACCUCUUAAAAUACCCUGCCCGGGCAGAGCCGACCUUGCGCCGGGCGCAGCAGCCAAGCGAAAAUGAAACCAGCCGGGAACCGCCGGAGCCCGGGGCCAGGGUUUGACUCGGCAACGCAGGAAGGAAACCGUCCCAGUCGCUCCCGUUUUGGACUCUCUGGCCCGCAGCGUCAAGCCUCCGGACGAGGAAAGACCCGGGGCCCAGCCCGAGCUGGCUGCAGGCCGCCUGGCUGGAAUCCUCUGCAGGUGACCUGAGCACUCCGGCACUACCAGGCCCCCCCUCUCGUUCUCUACCCCCGGGCACCUCCUGGCGCUUCCCCUGCCCAAAGCUAACCCCCCUCCCCAAGGGCCCAGCGGCCACUUCCCAGGCCAGUGAACGGGUCUGAAAGGCGAGUCUCCUGCUGGGACCUCCGGGAGAAAAGCCGCAUUGUGCGGCCCUCCCCGCCCCGCACCACUGUUCUGCGCGCAGAUGCUGACAGCUACAAUAAAAGGUUUUCGCGCCUUUCA